ACAAAUUGUUAUCCUAUCACAGGUCCUAGCAAAUGAAGUCAACAUUGGAUAUGAGGAUAUGAGCAAUCAGCAGGUUUUGAAGUUCAACGGUACUCGAAUAAAAAACAUUCAUCACCUAGCCUACCUCGUUGAUUCAUGCAAGGACAGAUAUUUAGUGUUUGAGUUUGAAGACAACUAUAUUGCUGUGAUGGAGAGGGAAGCAGCUAGUGCCUCUGC
rnacentral:misc_RNA from 1 species